rnacentral:rRNA from 1 species
GAUGAACGCUGGCGGCGUGCCUAAUACAUGCAAGUCGAGCGAACAGACGAGGAGCUUGCUCCUCUGACGUUAGCGGCGGACGGGUGAGUAACACGUGGAUAACCUACCUAUAAGACUGGGAUAACUUCGGGAAACCGGAGCUAAUACCGGAUAAUAUAUUGAACCGCAUGGUUCAAUAGUGAAAGACGGUUUUGCUGUCACUUAUAGAUGGAUCCGCGCCGCAUUAGCUAGUUGGUAAGGUAACGGCUUACCAAGGCAACGAUGCGUAGCCGACCUGAGAGGGUGAUCGGCCACACUGGAACUGAGACACGGUCCAGACUCCUACGGGAGGCAGCAGUAGGGAAUCUUCCGCAAUGGGCGAAAGCGUGACGGAGCAAAGCCGCGUGAGUGAUGAAGGUCUUCGGAUCGUAAAACUCUGUUAGUAGGGAAGAACAAAUGUGUAAGUAACUAUGCACGUCUUGACGGUACCUAAUCAGAAAGCCACGGCUAACUACGUG